GAAUCUUGCGCAAUGGACGAAAGUCUGACGCAGCGACGCCGCGUGGGGGAUGAAGGCCUUCGGGUUGUAAACCCCUUUUGGUGGGAAAGAAACACUCCGAUGUUAACAGCAUCGGGGCUUGACGGUACCCACAGAAAAAGCCACGGCUAACUCUGUGCCAGCAGCCGCGGUAAGACAGAGGUGGCAAGCGUUGUCCGGAAUUACUGGGCGUAAAGCGCGCGUAGGUGGCUAGAUAUGUCCGGUGUGAAAUCCCACGGCUUAACCGGGGAACGGCACCGGAUACUGUAUAGCUCGAGGACGGGAGAGGAGAGCGGAAUUCCCGGUGUAGCGGUGAAAUGCGUAGAGAUCGGGAGGAAGGCCGGUGGCGAAGGCGGCUCUCUAGAACGUCCCUGACGCUGAGGCGCGAAAGCGUGGGGAGCAAACAG
rnacentral:rRNA from 1 species